rnacentral:snoRNA from 1 species
AAGACUGGACUUUUAGAGAUCAUUUCCCUAGUUUUUAACUAGAAAGUUUCUCAGAACACAGAGCACCGACAUAAGCUUGAGAAUAGACUUGCAGCAAUGC